GAUGAACGCUGGCGGCGUGCCUAAUACAUGCAAGUCGAGCGAACGGACGAGAAGCUUGCUUCUCUGAUGUUAGCGGCGGACGGGUGAGUAACACGUGGAUAACCUACCUAUAAGACUGGGAUAACUUCGGGAAACCGGAGCUACUACCGGAUAAUAUUUUGAACCGCAUGGUUCAAAAGUGAAAGACGCUCUUGCUGUCACUUAUAGAUUGAUCCGCGCUGCAUUAGCUAGUUGGUAAGGUAACGGCUUACCAAGGCAACGAUGCAUAGCCGACCUGAGAGGGUGAUCGGCCACACUGGAACUGAGACACGGUCCAGACUCCGACGGGAAGCAGCAGUAGGGAAUCUUCCGCAAUGGGCGAAAGCCUGACGGAGCAAAGCCGCGUGAGUGAUGAAGGUCUUCGGAUCGUAAAACUCUGUAAUUAGGGAAGAACAUAUGUGUAAGUAACUGUGAACAUCUUGACGGUACCUAGUCAGAAAGCCACGGCUAACUACGUG
rnacentral:rRNA from 1 species